AUAACCCCUGAGUCUGGGGGUAAUGGCACGGGGACCCACCAGCUUGUCUGCCGCCAUCUGGGUUUUUUGAGAUGAAGUCUCGUUCUUGUCCCCCAGGCUGGAGUGCAAUGGCAUGAUCUCAGCUCACUGCAACCUCUGCCUCCCGGGUUCAAGCAAUUCUCCUGUCUCAGCCUCCUGAGUAGCUGGAUUACAGAGAAACACAGAGGAGAGACCCAGAGAGAAGGAGAAGGCCGCAUGAAGAUGGAGCAGAGACUGGAGUUAUUCAGCCAAGUCAAGGAAUGCCUGGAGCACCAGAAGCCGGAAGAGGCAAGGAAGGAUCCUCCCUUAGAGCAUUUGGAAGAGUGUGGCCCUGCCAACACCUUGACUUCAAACUUCUGGCCUCCAUAACUAUGAAAUAAAUUCUUGUUGUUUUAAGCCACCAA
rnacentral:lncRNA from 1 species